ACUGCUCAGUAACACGUAGCUAACCUACCCUCGGGACGGAGACAACCCCGGGAAACUGGGGUUAAUACCCGAUAGGCGUGGAUUCCUGGAAUGGUUUCACGCCGAAACGUUAACACACCAUGUUUGUGUGCACGCCUGAGGAUGGGGCUGCGGCCGAUCAGGCUGUUGGUGAGGUAACGGCUCACCAAACCUUUGACCGGUACGGGCCGUGAGAGCGGUAGCCCGGAGAUGGACACUGAGACAAGGGUCCAGGACCUACGGGUCGCAGCCGGUACGAAACCUCCACAAUGCACGCAAGUGCGAUGGGGUUACCUCGAGUGCCGCCUGAAGAAGGCGGCUUUUCCAUUGUGUAAUGAGCCGUGGGAAUAAGGGGGGGGCAAGACUGGUGUCAGCCGCCGCGGUAACACCAGCCCCCCGAGUGGUGGGGAUGUUUAUUUGGCCUAAAACGUCCGUAGCCGGCUCGGUAAAUCUCUCGUUAAAUCCAGCGUCCUAAGCGUUGGGCUGCGAGAGAGACUGCCGAACUAGAGGGUGGGAGAGGUCAGCGGUAUUUCUGGGGUAGGGGCGAAAUCCAUUGAUCCCAGGAGGACCACCAGUGGCGAAGGCUGCUGA
rnacentral:rRNA from 1 species